UUGAAACACCAGUUCCCAUAUGAUCACCAAAGUUAAGCAACAUCCAGCCAGGUCAGUACCUAGAUGGAGGAAUACUUGAGAACACUAGGUGUUGUAAG